GCGUGUGUGCAGCGGCGGCAGCGGCGGCGGCUGCAACAGCGGCUGCAACAGCGGCUGCAGCGGCUGCCUCGACGCAAUGGACACCGGCUCACGUACCGGAUGUCGCGAAGGCCCUCCCCGUUCCUGUUGCUCUCACUAAUGGGACAGCUAAUAGUAGUCCCUCAGAAUAUAAUGGAACCAUUGAAUACAAUUGUAAAGGUUCGUACCAAAAACAUUUGAAUUUGGAAAACCUACGAGGGAUUGUCGCUAUUUCUCGCGCAAUUAGCGACGGUCACAGUCGAACGUACCCAGGCUACACUAAUAUGUCAUAUCAUAAGUAUUGUAGUAAUUUAUGAUUUCUUCUCUUCUUUUAACAAAUGCUUGAAAUGUAAAUAUAUUAUUAUUAUAAUACGA